CCAACGGCCCUCUUUAGGGCCACAAAUUCCCAAAUAAUCCUUAUAU
rfam:Caenorhabditis brenneri strain PB2801 C_brenneri-6.0.1_Cont128.10, whole genome shotgun sequence.